AUUGAACGCUGGCGGCAGGCCUAACACAUGCAAGUCGAGCGAGCGGCGGACGGGUGAGUACUGUCUGGGAAACUGCCUGCUGGAGGGGGAUAACUACUAGAAACGGUAGCUAAUACCGCAUCCCAUCGGAUGUGCCCAGAUGGGAUUAGCUAGUAGGUGGGGUAACGGCUCACCUGGGCAACGAUCCCUAGCUGGUCUGAGAGGAUGACCAGCCACACGUGAACUGAGACACGGUCCAGACUCCUACGGGAGGCAGCAGUGGGGAAUAUUGCACAAUGGGCGCAAGCCUGAUGCAGCAAUGCCGCGUGUAUGAAGAAGGCCUUCGGGUUGUAAAGUACUUUCAGCGGGGAGGCGUUACCCGCAGAAGAAGCACCGGCUAACUCCGUGCCAGCCGCCGCGGUAAUAC
rnacentral:rRNA from 1 species